UACGAAGGGGGCUAGCGUUGCUCGGAAUCACUGGGCGUAAAGGGUGCGUAGGCGGGUCUUUAAGUCAGGGGUGAAAUCCUGGAGCUCAACUCCAGAACUGCCUUUAUACUGAAGAUCUUGAGUUCGGGAGAGGUGAGUGGAACUGCGAGUGUAGAGGUGAAAUUCGUAGAUAUUCGCAAGAACACCAGUGGCGAAGGCGCUCACUGGCCCGAUACUGACGCUG
rnacentral:rRNA from 1 species